GUUUUUAAAAUGUAAAGCUAUGUUUGUAAUCGCGGGAAAAUAAAAUAAUUCAGGCGCGUUAAUUUGGUAAGUGGAGGCGCUUUACCAUUGCAAAUUAAAAAAAAUAAAUGCUAUCUUAUCUGAAAAAUAUAUUAAAAAUAAUUCAGCCACGUUUCUUUUAUUUCUGUUUCUUCUCUGUAGUCUGCUUGACUUCCUCAAAUUCUCAGAUUCAUCACCACUCCUUUUGUCACCAUCGCUCGUUAUCCCACCACCACCAGCUCGUCACCACCAUCACCAUAUCUCUCAUCCGCUUCGAUGGUUCAGGUCGGCGGGGAAGAUGCUUUGAUGGUUCAGGUCGCUGGAGAUGUCUCGUUCUCUGAGUAUGAGCCUCCCUCUUGGCAGAGCCAAAGUUUCUCCGGACUGAUUUCAGGGGGUUGUUGGAUCAUGUAGCUUCUUAGUUAUGACCUCUAGCACAACAUGAGAUCGAAGGGUAUCACAGGACACAAUUGUUGCUUGAGUAGAAGCCCGUG